UACGUAGGGUGCGAGCGUUGCCCGGAUUUAUUGGGCGUAAAGGGCGCGCAGGCGGCCACGCACGUCCGUUGUGAAAUCGCCCGGCUCAACUGGGCGGGGUCGGCGGAUACGGCGUGGCUGGAGCAAGCUAGGGGGCAAUGGAAUUCCCGGUGUAGUGGUGGAAUGCGUAGAUAUCGGGAGGAACACCAGUGGCGAAGGCGGUUGCCUGGAGCUUUGCUGACGCUGAGGCGCGAAAGCGUGGGGAGCGAUCCGG
rnacentral:rRNA from 1 species